ensembl:lncRNA
UGAAAUUAUACCUAAUGAGCAAGGUAGAGAUGACGUUGGAAAGGAAAAACUCGGUGAGAUGAUAUGAGGAAGAAACCUCGAGAGGAACAAGACUCAAAAGGGAACCCAUCCUUUAUAACCCCCUUCUAGAGCUGUGUACUAUAUGGUCAAAUAAUGCAAUUGUGUAAACAGGAAAUUCGUUAUAGUUUUCACACAAAGUCUGUUUUGUUGAACUUCUCCACUGUUCACUGAUGGAGACUUGAGUGCAAAACUGUUCAUAUGAAUUGUGGUCCAAAGCCAUCUUCGUGGUUUUUAAGUGGUACCAUCCUCAGUAAUCUCCAUGACCUUCAGUGAAGUUAUCUAUAUUUAUCUAAGGCUCAAACAGAGAUUUAAAUUGUUGUUGGAAAUAUUCCAAAAGGAAUACUAAUAUUAAUCAUUUUAUAGCAAUUGGAAAAUACUGAAAAAGUUUUGCUAAAGCUAACAAAACUUACUAUACACUCCAACAGAUACUUGUAAAUUUCCAUGUCACCAAGGCGGUACCCUCAAAGGCACAUCUUUUAUGCCUGCAAUAUGUAUCUUUCAUCUCAAAAGAUGGAGAUAGUGUACCUAUAGUGUACCUUUAAAAAUGAUUUAAGGUCCAUACGUACCCUUUCUUUCUGAUGCAUGAUCAGUUCCACACUCUCACCACUCUCGGGUUUAAUCGAUUAAUUCGGUUCGCUUCAACAGGCUGUAUUGGCAUGAUCAUAUACAUGUACGGUAUUGCCAACGCAUUACGGGAAUGUCGAACUGUUAAUAAUAAACCGAAGUGCUGUACGAGAAAUAUAAAACCGAAUUAAAAGAGUAAACAAAAACCAAAGAAAAGACCAAUGAAAAAUUGACAUCCUCGAUUAAAACAUAAAGAAUACGAGUGAGUUUUCAAACGGGAUUUAAACACGGAAACGGAAGGGGAAGAUCUAAUGUGGAGAGGAAGACUAUUCCAAAGCCUAGGAGCAGCCACCGAGAAAGCCCGGUCACUUUUAGCCUUAAAACAUGAACGAGGAACUGAGAGUGGUAGUAGUGUGUUAGUAGCAUUAGUGUUGUUUUCGUAGAAGAUUGUUAUCAGAAUCUGAAUAAACAUAUUGUAUUAGUGUCCAUUUGUUGUAGUGGGUGGGUUACUCACUGUCCCUCAGGUUGUGGCAGGCACACAGGCUAAAAUGCACCUCUCCUUUAUUUCUCCUAACGGUACGGGCAGUUUGUCAGUGUUUGGCGGAAGGAUGAACUGGGGAUGUGUGAUGUGAUGUUUUUUUAAAAUAUAAUUCACGCAAGUGUUUGAAGUUGUUACACUCGGUUAGAAAGUGCAGCUCUGUCUCCACUGUGUUGCUGUUGCACUGUGUGCGCACUCUGCUCUUUAGGGAGCCGCGAUUACUUCUAGCGGCCGUCUCGACGGCCAGUGUGUGUGCCGAGUCUGGACUGUGUCAGCGUGGUUCUGCGUCGGUGUGCGGUCACUGUGCUCAGGUAGUCCGCUACAGUGUACUGUGCGUUUCGGGCCAGACAGCACUGCAUUUUACUUUGUGCUUGUGUGUUCGUAGGGGUGGAUGUAGUUUUGUUUCUGUAGUGUUAUAAUUUGGUGAGGUCUGAUGGGUCUGAUUUGUUCUUGUGUCCGGCUGCUCCUGGGGUAGAACCGUGUUAGCGUGUGUUAAUGAGCUGAGGUUCAGGACUAGCCGGGCGAGGAGAAUCGUCUUUGUGAGCGGCCCCCAGACCUCACUACCGUACAGCAGAAUCGAUUUGAAUUGGGAUUUGGGAAUGAAUUUGUUGUGUAGAAUUUUACUUGCGCCUGCUCUGUCAGCUCAUUCGCCGCUGGACUGAAAUUUCCAGUGGUAUUAAUUUUCAAUCCGAAGUAUUUGUAUUCUUUGCAAUUUCUAUUCUGUGCGUCCCUAAAGUGAAGUUAAUCACUACUUGUGGCGAAGUCUCUGUGAAGUGAGCUGCUCUAAUGGCUUUGACGUUAAAUAGUACAAUAUCCUUUCCAAACCAAAAGUAGAAUCUGUUAAAGCCUCUAGGGUUAUACAUUACUCCCACAUAUGAUUGGUAGUGUUUUGGCUUCUAGACUGGUGGACAUGCUGGAUGCUGCUGAAAAAUACUUUGAGGAGUCCUGGGAUUGACACCAGCUCUGUGUGUUGGUGCAAAAAGGGUAUUGGAAAGGCCAAAAGUAAACCUGGAGAAGUAUUAACAUUAGCUUCUGAAGUAAGAAAUUUGGUGAGGAGAUAAGUGAUAUGAUUUGAUUAUAUAAUGCAGAUAUUUUAGUUUUUAAGGUGCAUGUACAGGACUCCUGGACAAGGAGACAUCUGCUUGAGCUUCCAGACAUCUGUAGAAAACCUCCCAUCUGCUGGUAUAUGCACCGGACUGUUCAUGUGGACCGAAUAAAAAUGGAAUCUCUGUCAACUACACACCCACACCUCCUGACUCUUCUCUGCACUCAAGAAAUAAUUUACUGUCUGUUUCGUUUUGCACAGGAACCCACAAGCUGUAGUUUCCUCCAACCUGCCAACAAACACGACUGCAGGUGGAUCGGCUGUGUGUGUGAAUCUUCGUGCAUGGUGUUGUGCGAUGGACUGGCAUCCCAUCCCACCUUCGACCCACUGUGAUCGGCUCGGGAUCCACCGUGACGCUGCCCAGGAUUAAACGUCUACUGAAGAUGAAGGAACAAAUCAUUUGUGUACACGUAAUGAUUUUGGAUUGUAUUAUAUACAGGUGCAUCUAAAAAAACAAAACAAAAACAGAAUAUUGUGGAAAAGUUCGUUUUGUUCCUUAAUUUAAUUUAAUUAAAAAGUGGAACUUUCAUAUAUUCUGGAUUCAUUACACAUAAAGUGAAAUAUU